rnacentral:rRNA from 1 species
UACGUAGGGGGCAAGCGUUGUCCGGAUUUAUUGGGCGUAAAGAGCGUGUAGGCGGCUUUACAGGUCCGUUGUGAAAACUCGAGGCUCAACCUCGAGACGCCGGUGGAAACCGUAAGGCUAGAGUCCGGAAGAGGAGAGUGGAAUUCCUGGUGUAGCGGUGAAAUGCGCAGAUAUCAGGAGGAACACCCGUGGCGAAGGCGGCUUUCUGGCCUGUUCUUGACGCUGAGGCGCGAAAGCUAGGGUAGCAAACGGG